rnacentral:rRNA from 1 species
AACGAACGCUGGCGGCGUGCUUAACACAUGCAAGUCGAACGAGACCUUCGGGUCUAGUGGCGCACGGGUGCGUAACGCGUGGGAAUCUGCCCUUAGGUACGGAAUAACUCGGAGAAAUUUGUGCUAAUACCGUAUGAUGUCGAAAGACCAAAGAUUUAUCGCCUAAGGAUGAGCCCGCGUAAGAUUAGCUUGUUGGUGAGGCAAAAGCUCACCAAGGCGACGAUCUUUAGCUGGUCUGAGAGGAUGAUCAGCACACUGGGACUGAGACACGGCCCAGACUCCUACGGGAGGCAGCAGUGGGGAAUAUUGGACAAUGGGCGAAAGCCUGAUCCAGCAAUGCCGCGUGAGUGAUGAAGGCCUUAGGGUUGUAAAGCUCUUUUACCAGGGAUGAUAAUGACAGUACCUGGAGAAUAAGCUCCGGCUAACUCCGUGCCAGCCGCCGCAGUAA